rnacentral:rRNA from 1 species
ACGGGAGGCAGCAGUAAGGGAUAUUGCACAAUGGGGGAAACCCUGAUGCAGCAACGCCGCGUGAGGGAAGAAGGUUUUCGGAUUGUAAACCUCUGUUUUUAGUGAAGAAACAAAUGACGGUAGCUAAAGAGGAAGCCACGGCUAACUACGUGCCAGCAGCCGCGGUAAUACGUAGGUGGCAAGCGUUGUCCGGAUUUACUGGGUGUAAAGGGUGCGCAGGCGGGACUGCAAGUUGGAUGUGAAAUACCGAAGCUUAACUUCGGAGCUGCAUCCAAAACUGUGGUUCUUGAGUGAAGUAGAGGUAGGCGGAAUUCCGAGUGUAGCGGUAAAAUGCGUAGAUAUUCGGAGGAACACCAGUGGCGAAGGCGGCCUACUGGGCCGAUACUGACGCUGAGGCGCGAAAGCUGGGGGAGCAAACAGGAUUAGAUACCCUGGUA